GUGUUUUAUUUAUUUCUUCUAAUAUACAUGUCGGUACGUUUGAAGGCAAAGGAUAGAAUGUCUCAUCUUCGUAUAUUAACGAAUAAAUGAAGGACCAAAGAACUAAGAAUUGUGAUUAUGCUUACGUUUCCAUUGAAAUACGCUUAGUAUAACGAUGAGGGUGACAAUUGCAUAGUUACUAUAAUACAUGUAUCUAAUUUAUUUAUUCACGUGUGUAAUGAGGUCGAUUGACUUGAUCUACCACAAAGGUAUUAUGGAAAUGCGAUCGAGUAUUAACCAGGUAACUUAUUAUUUAUACAAGGUCCGUCUACGGUUGAAGGUAAUUAUUGGAUAACUUCGCUAAUAUUUCACAAUACUAAAAUAAAAAAUGAGCUAAACUCGUAUUUGACCAUAUUCCUGGGAUAUCAACAGUCCACUAUAUGAUUUUGCUUAAUAAGAAUCAUUAGCUAUCUGAAUGCAUGAUUAUUUAACAGCAUCCCUCGCAGACAGAAUUCUAUACCCUUUACGAUCUAAUAAUUGCAAAUAUUUCAUACAUGUAUGGGAAUAUUAGAUGAUUACCGUUAAAGUGAUUUAUUGCUAAAAAUUGCAAAUACAGUUUUCCC